UACAUGCAAGUAGAACGCUGAAGGAGGAGCUUGCUUCUCUGGAUGAGUUGCGAACGGGUGAGUAACGCGUAGGUAACCUGCCUGGUAGCGGGGGAUAACUAUUGGAAACGAUAGCUAAUACCGCAUAAUAGUAGAUGUUGCAUGACAUUUGCUUAAAAGGUGCAAUUGCAUCACUACCAGAUGGACCUGCGUUGUAUUAGCUAGUUGGUGGGGUAACGGCUCACCAAGGCGACGAUACAUAGCCGACCUGAGAGGGUGAUCGGCCACACUGGGACUGAGACACGGCCCAGACUCCGACGGGAGGCAGCAGUAGGGAAUCUUCGGCAAUGGACGGAAGUCUGACCGAGCAACGCCGCGUGAGUGAAGAAGGUUUUCGGAUCGUAAAGCUCUGUUGUAAGAGAAGAACGAGUGUGAGAGUGGAAAGUUCACACUGUGACGGUAUCUUACCAGAAAGGGACGGCUAACUACGUGCCAGCAGCCGCGGUAAUACGAAGGUCCCGAGCGUUGUCCGGAUUUAUUGGGCGUAAAGCGAGCGCAGGCGGUUAGAUAAGUCUGAAGUUAAAGGCUGUGGCUUAACCAUAGUACGCUUUGGAAACUGUUUAACUUGAGUGCAAGAGGGGAGAGUGGAAUUCCAUGUGUAGCGGUGAAAUGCGUAGAUAUAUGGAGGAACACCGGUGGCGAAAGCGGCUCUCUGGCUUGUAACUGACGCUGAGGCUCGAAAGCGUGGGGAGCAAACAGGAUUAGAUACCCUGGUAGUCCACGCCGUAAACGAUGAGUGCUAGGUGUUAGACCCUUUCCGGGGUUUAGUGCCGCAGCUAACGCAUUAAGCACUCCGCCUGGGGAGUACGACCGCAAGGUUGAAACUCAAAGGAAUUGACGGGGGCCCGCACAAG
rnacentral:rRNA from 1 species